CGAAAGCCUGACGGAGCAACGCCGCGUGAGGGAAGAAUGCCUGUGGGUUGUAAACCUCUUUUCUCAGGGAAGAAGAACUGACGGUACCUGAGGAAUCAGCAUCGGCUAACUCCGUGCCAGCAGCCGCGGUAAGACGGAGGAUGCAAGCGUUAUCCGGAAUUAUUGGGCGUAAAGCGUCCGCAGGUGGCUGUUCAAGUCUGCUGUCAAAGCGCAGAGCUUAACCCUGGAAAGGCGGUGGAAACUGAAGCGCUAGAGUGUGGUAGGGGUAGAGGGAAUUCCCAGUGUAGCGGUGAAAUGCGUAGAUAUUGGGAAGAACACCGGUGGCGAAAGCGCUCUACUGGGCUACAACUGACGCUGAUGGACGAAAGCUAGGGGAGCG
rnacentral:rRNA from 1 species